rnacentral:rRNA from 1 species
GAUGAACGCUGGCGGCGUGCCUAAUACAUGCAAGUCGAGCGAACGGACGAGAAGCUUGCUUCUCUGAUGUUAGCGGCGGACGGGUGAGUAACACGUGGAUAACCUACCUAUAAGACUGGGAUAACUUCGGGAAACCGUAGCUAAUACCGGAUAAUAUUUUGAACCGCAUGGUUCAAAAGUGAAAGACGGUCUUGCUGUCACUUAUAGAUGGAUCCGCGCUGCAUUAGCUAGUUGGUAAGGUAACGGCUUCCCAAGGAAACGAUGCAUGGCCGACCUGAGAGGGUGAGCGGCCACACUGGUACUGAGACACGGUCCAGACUCCUACGGGAGGCAGCAGUAGGGAAUCUUCCGCAAUGGGCGAAAGCCUGACGGAGCAACGCCGCGUGAGUGAUGAAGGUCUUCGGAUCGUAAAACUCUGUUAUUAGGGAAGAACAAAUGUGUAAGUAACUAUGCACGUCUUGACGGUACCUAAUCAGAAAGCCACGGCUAACUACGUG